UACGAGGGGGGCAAGCGUUGUUCGGAAUUAUUGGGCGUAAAGGGCGCGUAGGCGGUGCGGUAAGUCUGAUGUGAAAUCUCCGGGCUCAACUCGGAGUCUGCAUCAGAAACUGCCGUGCUCGAGUGUGGGAGAGGUGAGUGGAAUUCCCGGUGUAGCGGUGAAAUGCGCAGAUAUCAGGAGGAACACCAGCGGCGAAGGCGGCGCUCUGGGCCGGAACUGACGCUGAGGAGCGAAAGCGUGGGUAGCAAACAGG
rnacentral:rRNA from 1 species